UGGCUAGAUAUAGCUUUUAAAUGCACAUGGUAAUUGUGUAGUGAAUCAUACUGAGCAACUUACAGCUUGCCAGUGUAUUCAUUUCCACAGUGUGUUCCAAAAAUUAAAAAUUACUCCUAGAGGCUAGUCCAAGUAUGGAAAGCCACACAUCUUGGCAAUGAGGCACAUGGUUGCCUUCAUUAGUAUUAUGUCAGAAAGCUGCUAAAUCAUCUAUUUAAUUCAAUGUUUGAAUUGCUAUAUGCAGCAUAACAAAAUAAAUGUAUGAGGCUAUAUUAAUUUGUAGAAGAUCAUAUGUGCUCUUUAUUUAAAUGGUAAAUAUGUCUUUUGAAAAUGAGCAAAAAUACGGGUUUCACUGAGCAGUCUUUCAGUGAGUGUGCAAAAGUAGGUUGGCCAAGUUGUAAUUAAGAUGUGUAAAAAGCCCUGGCAUGUGGCAUAGUUACCAAAGAUCUCAGUAGUUCUAUUUCCUACAUGCUCGGUGAUUUCUUUAUGAACGAAGGGGGUAACUUAGCAACACUUUGAGAAGCAGAGGAAUUUUUUGUUGAAUGUUUCCUUUCCAACUUGUCUCACAUGUACUAAAAGCCAUAUUACCAGACCUCUAGUUUUGUGUCCUUUCAAGAAUGGGUUUUUAAUUCACAGACUCGGAUGGACUCUCAUGAAACGAGAAGAGGACAGCUGAUUGUUACCAGUCUGAGUUCAAUAUUAGAAACUACUAGCUGUGUGUUCCUUUAUAAAUCCGAGACUCUGUAUUUUUGGCAUACAGUUUUUUUAUUCUAGUAACUACAAAUACAAUCUCCUGUAUGUAUUGUGUGUUAAGUGGAAUAUUACAUUGUAAGUUCAAAAGAUGAAAAAAGAGAAUGGUAGUUUAGACUUGAGGGUGAAGAAAGUAAGAGAUGUUUGUGAUUAAAAGGUGAAUGGUAGUGUACUCUUCCCUCCUGUAGUUAAUUAUGCUUAAUGUCUUGAGUCGUGCACACCUCAAGUGUAAAUAUUAUGUUCAGAGGAUACUGUUUAUUGGUAAGUACAGUGAUUAUCUCUAGAAUGGUUAUUUUUUGUGCAUUUUUUUAAUAUGUUCUUGCCCUCAGCUACUUGAGAUGUUUAGUAUUUGGGAAGUGGAAAAUAUGAUU